AACGCGAAGAACCUUACCUGGGCUCGAACGGCUUCUCAACGCCGGUGGAAACAUCGGUAUCCCUUAAAAGAGUGGAGUCGAGGUGCUGCAUGGCUGUCGUCAGCUCGUGUCGUGAGAUGUUGGGUUAAGUCCCGCAACGAGCGCAACCCUUGUCCUGUGUUGCCAUCAUUCAGUUGGGAACUCGCAGGAGACCGCCAGGGAUAACCUGGAGGAAGGUGGGGAUGACGUCAAGUCCUCAUGGCCUUUAUGUCCAGGGCUACACACGUGCUACAAUGGACGGUACAAAGCGCAGCAAACCCGCGAGGGGGAGCCAAUCGCAAAAAACCGUUCUCAGUUCGGAUUGCAGGCUGCAACUCGCCUGCAUGAAGCUGGAAUCGCUAGUAAUGGCAGAUCAGCACGCUGCCGUGAAUACGUUCCCGGGCCUUGUA
rnacentral:rRNA from 1 species